UACGAGGGGGGCGAGCGUUGUUCGGAAUUAUUGGGCGUAAAGGGUGCGUAGGCGGUUUGGUAAGUCUUGUGUGAAAUCUACAGGCUCAACUUGUAGUCUGCACGAGAAACUGCCGGGCUUGAGUGUGGGAGAGGUGAGUGGAAUUCCUGGUGUAGCGGUGAAAUGCGCAGAUAUCAGGAGGAACACCGAUGGCGAAGGCAGGUCUCUGGGCCAUUACUGACACUGAGAAGCGAAAGCAUGGGGAGCGAACAGG
rnacentral:rRNA from 1 species